rnacentral:ncRNA from 1 species
UCCUGCGUGAUCAGGAAUCUGAAGGAAGCCAGCAGCAAAAGCUUACCCGGAUCAAACAGAAAUAUAAUAAAAGGCUUUUCUGCGGGUUAGUGGAGAUUAGACUACGAAGCCCGUAGUUGGAAAUAUAUGAGAUAACCAUUCAUCGCUUGAUGUGGAUGCUGAGUAC